rnacentral:tRNA from 1 species
GGAUUUAGCUCAGUGGUAGAGCGCUUGCCUAGCAAGCACAAGGCCCUGGGUUCGAUCCCCAGCUCCA